GUUUGAUCAUGGCUCAGAUUGAACGCUGGCGGCAUGCUUUACACAUGCAAGUCGAACGGGGUGAGGAGCUUGCUCCUCAUCUAGUGGCGAACGGGUGAGUAAUACAUCGGAACGUACCGUGUAGUGGGGGAUAACGUAGCGAAAGUUACGCUAAUACCGCAUACGAUCCACGGAUGAAAGCAGGGGACCUUCGGGCCUUGUGCUAUACGAGCGGCCGAUGUCUGAUUAGCUAGUUGGUGGGGUAAAGGCCCACCAAGGCAACGAUCAGUAGCGGGUCUGAGAGGAUGAUCCGCCACACUGGGACUGAGACACGGCCCAGACUCCUACGGGAGGCAGCAGUGGGGAAUUUUGGACAAUGGGCGCAAGCCUGAUCCAGCCAUGCCGCGUGUCUGAAGAAGGCCUUCGGGUUGUAAAGGGCUUUUGUCAGGGAGCAAAACCCAGCAGCUAAUAUCUGUUGGGGAUGAGAGUACCUGAAGAAUAAGCACCGGCUAACUACGUG
rnacentral:rRNA from 1 species